rnacentral:misc_RNA from 1 species
GAUGAAGAACGUAGUGAAAUGCGAUACGUAAUGUGAAUUGCAGAAUUCAGUGAAUCAUCGAGUCUUUGAACGCACAUUGCGCCCCCUGGUAUUCCGGGGGGCAUGCCUGUCCGAGCGUCAUUGCUGCCCUCAAGCACGGCUUGUGUGUUGGGCCUCCGUCCUCCUCCCGGGGGACGGGCCCGAAAGGCAGCGGCGGCACCGCGUCCGGUCCUCGAGCGUAUGGGGCUUCGUCACCCGCUCUUGUAGGCCCGGCCGGCGCUUGCCGACACAUCAAUCUUUUUUCCAGGUUGACCUCGGAUUAGGUAGGGAUACCCGCUGAACUUAAGCAUAUCAAUAAGCGGAGGA